rnacentral:rRNA from 1 species
UUGGAGGGCAAGUCUGGUGCCAGCAGCCGCGGUAAUUCCAGCUCCAAUAGCGUAUAUUAAAGUUGUUGCAGUUAAAAAGCUCGUAGUUGAAUUUCGGGAUUGACGUGACGGUCGUGCCUUAAGGGGUAUGAACUGUCGCUGUUGAUUUCUCACCUUCUGGAGAAUCUCGAUGCCCUUUAUUGGGUGUCUUGUGGAUCCAGGACCUUUACCUUGAAAAAAUUAGAGUGUUUAAAGCAGGCAUUUUUGCUCGAAUACAUUAGCAUGGAAUAAUAGAAUAGGACGGCUUGGUUCUAUUUUGUUGGUUUCUAGGAUCACCGUAAUGAUUAAUAGGGAUAGUUGGGGGCAUUAGUAUUCAAUUGUCAGAGGUGAAAUUCUUGGAUUUAUUGAAGACUAACUACUGCGAAAGCAUUUGCCAAGGAUGUUUUCAUUAAUCAAGAACGAAAGUUAGGGGAUCGAAGACGAUCAGAUACCGUCGUAGUCUUAACCAUAAACUAUGCCGACUAGGAAUCAGACGAUGUUAAUUUUUUAAUGACUCGUUUGGCACCUUACGGGAAACCAAAG